CAGAACCUGGAACAAAGGAGCUUCCUGGCCACUGACCUCCUGCUGUAUCAAAUCAGGAAGGUCGAGUGAGUUCUGGAUACAGUGCCACAGGGGAAACUGUCACAGAACAUGUCCACCAUGUUUCCAAAGGCUGCCCUGCCCCAGGAAUGUGGUAAGUCUCCCUGAAACCCGGCUCAUCCUGGCCUCAGUCCUCAGAGAAGGACGUGGUGAUGUCAAUCCUCUCUCCAAAGGAAGGAUGGCACUUCCUCUGACUUCUCCACUUUCUUGCACCCAACUUGGGCCCACAUGGCUCCCGACUUCACUUCAUAACAUGACACAGGAAGACCCAUCCUCCCUUGGCCCCCAACAAAAUGGGCAUUCCGCCCACAAUUCAAC
rnacentral:lncRNA from 1 species